rnacentral:rRNA from 1 species
GACGAACGCUGGCGGCGUGCUUAACACAUGCAAGUCGAACGCUGAAGCUUGGUGCUUGCACUGGGUGGAUGAGUGGCGAACGGGUGAGUAAUACGUGAGUAACCUGCCCUUGACUCUGGGAUAAGCCUGGGAAACUGGGUCUAAUACUGGAUAUGACAUUCCACUGCAUGGUGGUGUGUGGAAAGGGUUUUACUGGUUUUGGAUGGGCUCACGGCCUAUCAGCUUGUUGGUGGGGUAAUGGCCUACCAAGGCGACGACGGGUAGCCGGCCUGAGAGGGUGACCGGCCACACGGGGACUGAGACACGGCCCAGACUCCUACGGGAGGCAGCAGGGGGGAAUAUGGCACAAUGGGCGGAAGCCUGAUGCAGCGACGCCGCGUGAGGGAGGACGGCCUUCGGGUGGUAAACCUCUUUCAGCACGGAAGAAGCGAGAGUGACGGUACGUGCAGAAGAAGCGCCGGCGAACUACGU